rnacentral:rRNA from 1 species
AACGAACGCUGGCGGCAUGCCUAACACAUGCAAGUCGAACGAGACCUUCGGGUCUAGUGGCGCACGGGUGCGUAACGCGUGGGAACCUGCCCUUAGGUUCGGAAUAACUCCCCGAAAGGGGUGCUAAUACCGGAUAAUGUCUUCGGACCAAAGAUUUAUCGCCUUUGGAUGGGCUCGCGUUGGAUUAGCUAGUUGGUAGUGUAAAAGCCUACCAAGGCGACGAUCCAUAGCUGGUCUGAGAGGAUGAUCAGCCACACUGGGACUGAGACACGGCCCAGACUCCUACGGGAGGCAGCAGUGGGGAAUAUUGGACAAUGGGCGAAAGCCUGAUACAGCAAUGCCGCGUGAGUGAUGAAGGCCUUAGGGUUGUAAAGCUCUUUUACCCGGGAUGAUAAUGACAGUACCGGGAGAAUAAGCGCCGGCUAACUCCGUG